rnacentral:misc_RNA from 1 species
AGACCAAUGCAGCGUAUGAAAC